rnacentral:rRNA from 1 species
ACUUCAGGACCUGAGAAGAGCUUAUGCAGGCAUGAGUAGCGAUAAACAGGAUGAGAAAUCCUGUCGCCGUAAGCCCAAGGUUUCCUGGGGAAGGAUAAUCCUCCCAUGGGUUAGUCGGUACCUAAGUCGAGCCCGAAAGGGGUAGAUGAUGGCAAGCAGGUUAAUAUUCCUGCACCAGUUGGGAAGGCGUUGAAUCGAGCAGGGACGGAGAAGGGUAUGCUGAGCCUGGUGAUUGGAUAUCCAGGUUCAAGCCUGUAGGCAGAUUUCAUAGAACCCGAUAGGGACAAACGUGAAGUCAAUGCCGAGAGGUGAUGAGGACAGACUUCGGUCUGGUAACUCAGUGAUCCCAUGCUUCCAAGAAAAGCUGCGCGAGGAGCCCCUCAAUUGACCGUACCGCAAACCGACUCAGGUGAGCGGGGUGAGUAUCCCAAGGCGCGUGAGAGAAUGCUGGUUAAGGAACUCGGCAAAUUGACACCGUAACUUCGGGAGAAGGUGUGCCCUUUGUGGUGAAGCCUGUACAGGUGGAGCUUCGGGGGGUUGCAGAGAAACGGGGGUUGCGACUGUUUACUAAAAACACAGGACUCUGCGAACACGUAAGUGGACGUAUAGGGUCUGACGCCUGCCCGGUGCUGGAAGGUUAAGGGGAGUUGUCAGCCGCAAGGCGAAGCAGCGAACCGAAGCCCCAGUAAACGGCGGCCGUAACAAUAACGGUCCUAAGGUAGCGAAAUUCCUUGUCGGGUAAGUUCCGACCUGCACGAAUGGCGUAACGACAUCCCCACUGUCUCAACCAGCAACUCAGCGAAAUUGUAAUCGCGGUGAAGAUACCGUGUACCCGCGGCAAGACGGAAAGACCCCAUGAACCUUUACUGCAACUUGACAGUGAAGCUCGGGAUAAUCUGCGUAGGAUAGGUGGGAGGCUGUGAAGCUGGGAUUCUGGUCUCAGCAGAGCCAACCUUGAAAUACCACCCUGAUUGUUCUGGGCUUCUAACCCAGGCGUGUAAGCCACGCCGGGGACACUGUCUGGUGGGCAGUUUGACUGGGGCGGUCGCCUCCCAAAAGGUAACGGAGGCGCGCGAAGGUUCCCUCAGGCUGAUUGGAAACCAGCCGUAGAGUGUAAUGGCACAAGGGAGCUUGACUGUGAGACCGACAGGUCGAGCAGGUGCGAAAGCAGGUCAUAGUGAUCCGGCAGUUCUGCAUGGAAGGGCUGUCGCUCAUCGGACAAAAGGUACUCUGGGGAUAACAGGCUGAUCGCGCCUGAGAGUUCAUAUCGGCGGCGCGGUUUGGCACCUCGAUGUCGGCUCAUCGCAUCCUGGGGCUGGAGCAGGUCCCAAGGGUUUGGCUGUUCGCCAAUUAAUGCGGUACGCGAGCUGGGUUUAGAACGUCGUGAGACAGUUCGGUCCCUAUCUGCCGUGGGCGCAGGAUACUUGAGAGGGUCUAACCAUAGUACGAGAGGACCUGGUUGGACGUACCUCUGGUGAUUCGGUUGUUCCGCCUGGAGCAUCGCCGAGUAGCUACGUACGGAAUGGAUAACCACUGAAAGCAUCUAAGUGGGAAGCCAGCCUCAAGAUGAGGUAUCCCGGGACAUUAGUCCCCUGAAGGCCCGUUGAAGACUACAACGUAAUAGGCUGGGUGUGGAAGUGCAGCAAUGCAUGGAGCUAACCAGUACUAAUCGGCCGUGAGGCUUGACC